rnacentral:rRNA from 1 species
GAUGAACGCUAGCGAUAGGCCUAACACAUGCAAGUCGAGGGGCAGCACAUGAGUAGCAAUACGAUGGUGGCGACCGGCGCACGGGUGAGUAUCGCGUAUGCAACCUACCUUCCACAGGGGGAUAGCCUUCCGAAAGGGAGAUUAAUACCGCAUAAAACAGGGGCCCCGCAUGGGGAUAUUUGUUAAAGAUUUAUCGGUGGGAGAUGGGCAUGCGUUCCAUUAGCUAGUUGGCGGGGUAAUGGCCCACCAAGGCAUCGAUGGAUAGGGGAACUGAGAGGUUUAUCCCCCACACUGGAACUGAGACGCGGUCCAGACUCCUACGGGAGGCAGCAGUGAGGAAUAUUGGUCAAUGGGCGGGAGCUUGAACCAGCCAAGUCGCGUGAAGGAAGACGGUUCUAUGGGUUGUAAACUUCUUUUGCACUGGGGUAAAACGGGGGACGUGUCCCCCCUUGCAAGUACAGUGCGAAUAAGCAUCGGCUAACUCCGUGCCAGCAGCCGCGGUAAAAC